rnacentral:lncRNA from 1 species
AUGUCAGUGUGGACAGCUGGUCUUUUACUGAUGGUAACUGUGGUCUUCUGUCCUUCAAGAGGUCAGACUCUGUUCACUGUCAGUGGACCUCAGGACGUCUACCAGGCAGAGGAGCACAGUAACAUCACACUAACAUGGCUGUUCUCUGUCACUGCUGACAUGUCUGACUCCCUGUACAUAAAAGUCAGGUGUGAGAAACCAUUCAGAUCAGUUUACAGAUAUAACAGUAGAUCUAAAGCUGAGCCAUAUCAGGAUGAGUUCUACAGAGGACGAGUGCUGUGUGAUCCAGAGCUCGCUAGAAAAGGACGAAUUGAAUGUGUCUUUACUGAUCUGAGACUGAACGACACAGGAACGUAUCGGUGUGUUGUUGAGAUGAACAGAAACAGGAGCUCUAAACUAUGUCACCUCAAUGUUACAGGUAAGUUAACAUCACUGUUCCUUUGUUAUUUACAGACACAGUAACUGAGUAGUAAACAAUAAAUUAACUUAAUUUAACUUAACUUAACUUUAAUUAAAUACUAAACUAAAUAACUCUAUAGCUACUGUAUUAUGGUCUUGAAGCUGUUCUUAUCAUGUGCAACAAUUUAAAACCAACACUCCCCAUCACAGGUGUCCAACCUGUAAGUGAGACAUUAGAGACAAAGCCAGAAAGAAGAAGAAUCGGACUCUAUUCAGGUUUUGUUUUAUUUACUCUGGUGGUAUUUUCACUAACGAUCUGUUAUUUCACUGUGUGCAGAGAGACCUCAGUAUUAAAUGUGGACGUCUCUCAGCCUGUUGGACCAAAAGAGAUUGUUGACUGAUUUCAGUCAUUUUUUAACCUCUUGCACUUUCUACCCAGUUAUUACAGAUCAUUACCUCAUGUAUUUGUUUUUGUAAUGAUGCUGUUUGUUAUAUCUGACCUGUUGUCCUCCUAUGAACUGUACCACAGAGCAGUGCAGAUACAUGCUGUUACCUCCUCAAAGUAAAGUCAGAAAACGCUUUUUCAAAGGAGCUGUUGUAACAGCUUGUUUACAUAAAUUCAUUUUAAUCACUUUAUUCUCUGAAAAAAAGGAAAGUUGUUAAAAUAAUCUAUAUUAGCUACGUCUGUUUUUACAAAUGUACUUUACGCUGUAAAUGUUCUCUGUGACUCUGAGGGAAUGAAGGAUCCAGAAUAGUUGGAGCUAUGUUGGAUAAAAUGUCGUCAUAUCAGCUGCUGCUUUGUAUUCAAAAUGUGUGUUUUUCAGUUUCCUGUGAGUUCAGUGUUUUCACCAGAUAUUAACAAUUUAAAAUCACAUAUGUAGUAGUAGAGUUUGAUAUGAUGAGUCAGUUUUGCUUCUGGUAUAUCCCAGUGGUUGUAUACUGUACUUUGACACCUUCAUAGAAAUAGACACUGACGAACUGCUGGAUAAUUGUGACACCAACGAAGGUGACGACAGCUGUAACUGGUUUAUACUUGAACAUAGUUUAAUAUCUGUGGUUGAAUCAGGUUAUAAAGUCAGAACUCUACUUGAUAAUGAAAGUUAGUGUCAGUGUGACAACAUGUUUCCUCCAUAUUCACUUCAAUAUAAACUGUUUGUUGUUUAAUGAGACAGAGUUAAACAUGAGGUCCAGUCCUUCUUACUGACAAAGCUGGAGAGGUCACUUUGAAUUAGCACUGGUAUUAAUCUAACUUAUAAUUUAAUGGAAUCAAAGGUCAUAAUAUUUUUAGUUGCUGUUUCUCAGGUACACAUCUUUUCAUGUUAAGUGAUUAAAAUAAAAGCUCAAAAAGCACAAACAGACUCAAUUUGAGGUGAAUAAAUCUGUUUUGGAGAUGAUGGUGUGAGCUGACUACAGGACUUUAAAAAACUAAUCAGUCACAAAGAUGCAGCAUCAUGGGAGUGAGUCGAGUUCCUGUAGGAAAAGUUUCUAAAACUGUGUUUGUGACUGUAGAUUUUAUACUUGCACUUUGUGUGGACUGUUUCCCAACUCUGUACUUCCCUAGAUCAGAUUUUCAGCCUAUAACGUACAAUAACUGCUUCAAUGUUGAACCAAAAGCAAGAAGUUACACUAACCAUAAUGCUGCCUCCUCUCAUUUAGAUAGUUCCUCAUUUUUUACAUGUGAUUCCUUCUUGUGCAUUAGGCAACAUUUGUCUUUACUAUUUUGAGUCUGUUAUUGCGUUUCCCAUAUGAACUAAACAAUCAAUGUGACCACAACAACCUGUAACUGGAUAUGUAUUAUUAGUAUUAGUAUUAUUACUAUGUUUUUUCUGACCAGUCUUGUUUGACAUAAGCUGCAUCAGUGCAGUUGGCUGAGUUCCCAGUUCUGAACCUUUGACCUUCAGAGGACAAACAGUUAAGAUAAGAUAAGAUAAGAUAAGAUAAGAUAAGAUAAGAUAAGAUAAGAUAAGAUAAGAUAAGAUAAGAUAAGAUAAGGCUUUAUUGUCAUUGUACAGUCACACUUGGUACAACAGUACAACGAAAUUGCAAACUG